rnacentral:rRNA from 1 species
CCUACGGGGGGCAGCAGUGAGGAAUAUUGGUCAAUGGGCGUAAGCCUGAACCAGCCAAGUCGCGUGAGGGAUGAAGGUUCUAUGGAUCGUAAACCUCUUUUAUAAGGGAAUAAAGUGCGGGACGUGUCCCGUUUUGUAUGUACCUUAUGAAUAAGGAUCGGCUAACGCCGGGCCAGCAGCCGCGGUAAUACGGAGGAUCCGAGCGUUAUCCGGAUUUAUUGGGUUUAAAGGGUGCGUAGGCGGCCUUUUAAGUCAGCGGUGAAAGUCUGUGGCUCAACCAUCGAAUUGCCGUUGAAACUGGGAGGCUUGAGUAUGUUUGCGGCAGGCGGACUGCGUGUUGUCGCGGU